ACGUGAGUAACCUGCCCUUGACUCUGGGAUAAGCCUGGGAAACUGGAUCUAAUACUGGAUACUACCUCUUACCGCAUGGUGGGUGGUGGAAAGGGUUUUACUGGUUUUGGAUGGGCUCACGGCCUAUCAGCUUGUUGGUGGGGUAAUGGCUCACCAAGGCAACUACGGGUAGCCGGCCUGAGAGGGUGACCGGCCACACUGGGACUGAAACACGGCCCAGACUCCUACGGGAGGCAGCAGUGGGGAAUAUUGCACAAUGGGCGGAAGCCUGAUGCAGCGACGCCGCGUGAGGGAUGACGGCCUUCGGGUUGUAAACCUCUUUCAGUAGGGAAGAAGCGAGAGUGACGGUACCUGCAGAAGAAGCGCCGGCUAACUACGUGCCAGCAGCCGCGGUAAUACGUAGGGCGCAAGCGUUGUCCGGAAUUAUUGGGCGUAAAGAGCUCGUAGGCGGUUUGUCGCGUCUGCUGUGAAAGCCCGGGGCUCAACCCCGGGUCUGCAGUGGGUACGGGCAGACUAGAGUGCAGUAAGGGAGACUGGAAUUCCUGGUGUAGCGGUGAAAUGCGCAGAUAUCAGGAGGAACACCGAUGGCGAAGGCAGGUCUCUGGGCUGUUACUGACGCUGAGGAGCGAAAGCAUGGGGAGCGAACAGGAUUAGAUACCCUGGUAGUCCAUGCCGUAAACGUUGGGC
rnacentral:rRNA from 1 species